UACGUAGGGAGCAAGCGUUGUCCGGAAUCAUUGGGCGUAAAGAGCGUGUAGGCGGCCCGGUAAGUCCGCUGUGAAAGUCAAAGGCUCAACCUUUGAAUGUCAGUGGAUACUGCCGGGCUAGAGUCCGGAAGAGGCGAGUGGAACUCCUGGUGUAGCGGUGGAAUGCGCAGAUAUCAGGAAGAACACCCGUGGCGAAGGCGGCUCUCUGGGACGGUACUGACGCUGAGACGCGAAAGCGUGGGGAGCGAACAGG
rnacentral:rRNA from 1 species